rnacentral:rRNA from 1 species
UACGUAGGGGGCGAGCGUUGUCCGGAUUUAUUGGGCGUAAAGAGCUCGUAGGCGGUUUGGUAAGUCGGAUGUGAAAUCUCCAGGCUCAACCUGGAGGGGUCAUUCGAUACUGCCGUGACUAGAGUUCGGUAGGGGAGUGUGGAAUUCCUGGUGGAGCGGUGAAAUGCGCAGAUAUCAGGAGGAACACCCGUAGCGAAGGCGGCACUCUGGGCCGAUACUGACACUGAGGAGCGAAAGCGUGGGGAGCGAACAGG